AGAGGCUGUGUCCUUCUGAUGUUAUGCAGCAUGUAUCUACAUGAUCGGGUGGUUGCAGCAAUGUUGACAGUAAAGGAGAGUUGGUCCUCAAGUGUCACACUCAGGUUUCUAGCAGUCUGGGUGGGGACUACCACAGAGUGGUCAAUUGUUAUAGUCAGGUUAUGGGUAGGAGA